UAACUACACAGCUAACUAAACUAGCUAAAUAAGCUAGCUAACGCUACAGCUUAGCCGAGGACGACGCCAUGAGUAUCUCCAUUCAGCCCUGUCACGAGCACAGGCCUCUUAUCCAUGCAAGAAUCACACUGCAUGAACCGCAUUGCUUUACACCUGGCAGACUCUGGCUGACAUCUGACCGCAGUAUGAGCCAGACCACCUCUGGUCUGGCAGGUCUUAUCACAUUCUGAUCACCCUUUGAAUUCAGGACCUGAAAUGACCAGCACACGUUCCCACUGGGGGGCUCAGACUGAUUCGUGUGGGAGCUGCUGCAAAGCUUCGCAUGUCUUGUCUUAAUACAUCCAGGCAGAUGAAAGGAGGAAUAGAGUAAACUGAUGGCACAGACCAGUGCUGCAUUUUCAUUCCUUUGAAAUGGGAGUGUGAUGCCAGGAUUCACCAGGGGGUCUUACAAAGCCAAAGCAAUAAUGAAGAGGAGAGAGGAGGGUUACGUGGGGAUGGGAGAAGGUGUAUAGUCGCAGAUUGGUGAGAGACAGAAGGGAAAAUAAGGAAAACAAGAUGGAUGGGAGAGAGAGGGAGAAAAAUAUAAAGCCAUCACUCACAACUGUGGAUGACGAUAAAUGAAGUAAUGCACAACAACGGUAAUGUGAAAGUCUUUUAUUGCCUGGCUCUGUGUUGCAGAGAAAAACUUUGGAGGAAAUAAUUUCUCUCUCUCCACAUUGGGCAUGAAUAAAUUUGAAUCAUACGCCUUACAGUAAAUCAUCCCAGUUCAUGUUUAGGUUGUUGAACAUUUCCAUUCUGAUGUCCUGAACGUCAGAUACAAGCGAAAUCUAAUAUUGUGUUUUCAACUCUAUGAUUACCUGUUUAAACACACCUUUUUUAAAUCCCUCCAUCCUUACACCAUUUGUUCACCCAUACACCUGUAAACUGUUUAUUGGACUUAAGCGUGACACAAAGCCAACCCAGACAUUUAUGACAAGAAACAUCUCAAACUGCUGUGUAGAGAAGAAACUAAAAAUAUGUUCCUGCUGUUUUUCCUUGUCGAGUUGUUUCAGUUUUAAACUAAAGAGAUAAAUAAGGAACACCAUGUUUUUCAGGCACCUCGGGGUACUAAACCAUGUAGAGAUAAAUGCAGUGUCAUGUAUCCAGACACACCAGUGUGGAGGAGUCUUGCUACACAUGCUCAGCAAUGGUUUUACCUUUGAUUAGGUUUUCUGGAAGGUUUUUGCACAAAGUAAUUGUCACCUGCAUGUGCAAGGUUCAAAGCUCACUUAUCUCUUCUGUAAUGUCCUUACACUUUGUCUGACUGCAGCUUUUUUAUGUUUUAUAUAACUGUAAAUUCAAUAUGAAUGGGUUUUGGACCGGUGGUCAAACAAAACAAGAUGUUUGAAGACGUCACCUAUGACUCUGCAAUGCUGUAAUUUUACAAAGUUAUUAAAUUAUUGAGAAAAUAAUCAAAAUAAACAAUAAGUAUAAA